rnacentral:rRNA from 1 species
GAUGAACGCUGGCGGCGUGCCUAAUACAUGCCAGUCGAGCGAACAGACGAGGAGCUUGCUCCUCUGACGUUAGCGGCGGACGGGUGAGUAACACGUGGAUAUCCUACCUAUAAGACUGGGAUAACUUCGGGAAACCGGAGCUAAUACCGGAUAAUAUAUUGAACCGCAUGGUUCAAUAGUGAAAGACGGUUUUGCUGUCACUUAUAGAUGGAUCCGCGCCGCAUUAGCUAGUUGGUAAGGUAACGGCUUACCAAGGCAACGAUGCGUAGCCGACCUGAGAGGGUGAUCGGCCACACUGGAACUGAGACACGGUCCAGACUCCUACGGGAGGCAGCAGUAGGGAAUCUUCCGCAAUGGGCGAAAGCCUAACGGAGCAACGCCGCGUGAGUGAUGAAGGUCUUCGGAUCGUAAAACUCUGUUAUUAGGGAAGAACAAAUGUGUAAGUAACUAUGCACGUCUUGACGGUACCUAAUCAGAAAGCCACGGCUAACUACGUG